CUCAGUUCAUCAUUCCUGUUUGUUAACUGCAACUGAGCUGCACAGAAGGCUUUGUGCUGAAGGAUUUCUCUGAGAGAUAGGAUGAAACAGUGCCUAGCCCAAAGAAUUUACAGGAGAAAUGUUUUUCUCAUGCAGACCUCUGAGGCACGCUGUGGAGAGAGAGUGACUACCUGCAGUCACUGCUGACUCCUCACCUGGAGGACCAUGCUCUCACACUGGGAUCUGGCACCAAGGAGCCCCAGGGCCUCACCGAGGGUAGUGCUGGUAAAGGAGCAUUGCUGGCAGCUCUUUGUUAUUUGUUUCCUCUGCUGAUAAGUAGAGGUAUUGCUGGGUCCAAAUUAUGGAGCUGUUCCCCAUGAUCCAUUCUAAUAUUAUAAAUUUUAAAACCCCCAAACAAGCAACCUCAAUUUAUCAAAUGAGCUAUGGCUCUGGAUACCAGGUGUGCCCCAUAUUUUCUUCUGUGCUAAAAACCCAGUUUCUCUUCUCCCUCUGAUUUUUUCUGAAGUGCUAUUCAGGGACUAGCCUCUGGCAGAUGCACCCUGAAGAACACAGCACUAAUUCACUUCACCUUUGAUGGAAAACAUCGAUCUCACAGCCCACUCAUGGAGCAGGUUUUUUUUUUUUUUUGCUUGAAAAUUCAGGAGAAGGUAACAUCGUGACUUUGAGUUGAGAUACCCAGCUCUGAGACAUGCCUUGGGCACAGGUCAUGGACUGGCUGAAAGGGCACAGAGGGAAAUGAGAAGUGCUGCAUCAAGCUGCUGCCGCUUUCUGAGAGCUCGUCGGUUUCAUCGUACAAGGGCACCACGUGCACAGGAACCAAACUGGGCAAGCUGAGGUUCCCAGUGCCCUUUCUACUUGUGCCAGGGGGAUAAGGUAUUCAGGGACACAUGGGAAGCACUGCUUCCAUUUUAAGAGAAUUAUUCAUAACGAGGUCAGCCUGCUGCUGCUUUCUCUCUCUGAGAUGCCAUCCAGGUCCUGCAAGAUGUCCAUACGGCACAUCCGCUUCCACUGUGGUACCUUGUGAAAUGAGGUGGUGCUGUUAAUCAGGUUUACAGACACCAAGACCAAGGAAGUCAUGCUUGUCUCUGCAGAUCAAGGUCCAAGUGACUAGCCCCAGGUAUCACAAAGAGGCAGUAGCAUCACAAGGAGCAAAUCAAGGCUUGUCUGUGCCUGGAGCACUGGCUCUAAUGCCCAGUUGUGCCUCCCUGCAGUUGUGGUGAUACCUUCAAGAGGCUGAGGAGUGAACAGAGAUCUGAGGUGCUUCAUCCUGCUGAGAGAGGCAUGGGGCUGUCCUUGCAGAGGGUGCUUUGGAGAGUCAUCUGCAGCAGGUGCCAAAAACAAAAGGAAUAAAUGAAAUGAGAUAUUGGAGAACAAGGUGUAAAAGCAGGUGCUGUCCUGUGUCAAAUAAACAGGAUUGAUGUUGGAA